GAGAUUGUAGCUCAGUUGGAUAGAGCGUCAGAUUGCGGAUCUGAAGGCCAGAGGUUCGACUCCUCUCAGUCUCG
rnacentral:tRNA from 1 species